UUUAGAUACUUUUAAAUGGCAGUGUAUACAUAAAAAAGUGCACCGCGAAAAUUUAUGUAGAUCAAACAUUAAAGAACAUUUUGAAAGAUGAAGGUACCUAUACAUAAUAUCAACCAUCACGAAAAAAUUGCAUAAAGUAUAUCAAAAAAAUUAUUUUCUAAUGGACUUAAACGACGAAUUGGAAAGGCCUUCAAAAAUCAUCAAUAGAGGAACUUUAACUAAGCCAGAACUAACACAAACGUUUACAGAAGCAAUUAACGUAAUGAACGAAUGUCAAAUUAAAACUGUCCAGGAUGAAAACUUUAUUCUUGUUGUUGAUUCAGUAAACAAAAUUAUAUGUUUUUCGACAGAAUCGAAAUUAAAAUUGCUAUAUUCAGUAGACAGAAUAUUUGUGGAUGGUACUUUUACCUACUGUGCAAAAUAUUUUCUUCAGUUUUUUACUAUCCACAUAUUCAAGAACGGACAUUAUAUUCCACUCGUAUACUUUUUACUACUAGACAAAUGUAAAGUCACAUAUGCACGAUCGUUUGAAUAUGUGGUUGAUAAAUGUUUGAAAAUUGAUUUAUUAUUCUCUCCAUCAAAAUUAGUUUCCGAUUUUAAAGAAGCAUAUUGGUGCAAAAAUAAUAUGGCCAGAAAUACGGAUCGUCGGUUGCAGAUUUCAUUUAACACAAAAUUGGUGGAAAUACAUUCAAAGUCUUGACUUAUCAAAAGAAUAUAAAGAUGCAUCAAAUGAAAUAGGUAAUUGGCUAAAAUGGGAUUACCAUUAUUGAAUCCAGAAGAAGUAAGAGAUUGCUUUAUGACAGAUUUGAUGUCAGUAUCUCCAGAUGAUGAAAGGCAUCAAGAAAUAACUUCGGAACGUACUAACAAUAGCUGUGAGUCUUUCCACUCAAAAUUAAAUUCACAAUUCACAAAAGGUCAUCCAAACAUUUUCAUAUUCACCCAUAUUUUAAAUCAAAAAAAUACAUACUGACAGUUACAUACACAUAA
rnacentral:misc_RNA from 1 species